rnacentral:rRNA from 1 species
AGAGUUUGAUCCUGGCUCAGAACGAACGCUGGCGGCAGGCCUAACACAUGCAAGUCGAACGCUCGUAGCAAUACGAGAGUGGCAGACGGGUGAGUAACACGUGGGAACCUUCCCUAUGGUUCGGAAUAGCUCAGGGAAACUUGAGGUAAUACCGGAUAAGCCCUUACGGGGAAAGAUUUAUCGCCAUUGGAUGGGCCCGCGUCGGAUUAGCUAGUUGGUGAGGUAACGGCUCACCAAGGCGACGAUCCGUAGCUGGUCUGAGAGGAUGAUCAGCCACACUGGGACUGAGACACGGCCCAGACUCCUACGGGAGGCAGCAGUGGGGAAUAUUGGACAAUGGGCGCAAGCCUGAUCCAGCCAUGCCGCGUGAGUGACGAAGGCCUUAGGGUUGUAAAGCUCUUUUGGCGGGGAAGAUAAUGACGGUACCCGCAGAAUAGUC